GAUGAACGCUGGCGGCGUGCCUAAUACAUGCAAGUCGAGCGAAUGGAUUAAGAGCUUGCUCUUAUGAAGUUAGCGGCGGACGGGUGAGUAACACGUGGGUAACCUGCCCAUAAGACUGGGAUAACUCCGGGAAACCGGGGCUAAUACCGGAUAACAUUUUGAACGGCAUGGUUCGAAAUUGAAAGGCGGCUUCGGCUGUCACUUAUGGAUGGACACGCGUCGCAUUAGCUAGUUGGUGAGGUAACGGCUCACCAAGGCAACGAUGCGUAGCCGACCGGAGAGGGUGAUCGGCCAGACUGGGACUGAGACACGGCCCAGACGCCUACGGGAGGCAGCAGUAGGGAAUCUUCCGCAAUGGACGAAAGUCUGACGGAGCAACGCCGCGUGAGUGAGGAAGGCUUUCGGGUCGUAAAACUCUGUUGUUAGGGAAGAACAAGUGCUAGUUGAAUAAGCUGGCACCUUGACGGUACCUAACCAGAAAGCCACGGCUAACUACGUGCCAGCCGCCGCAGUAA
rnacentral:rRNA from 1 species